GACGAACGCUGGCGGCGUGCUUAACACAUGCAAGUCGAACGAUGAAGCAAAGAAUUGCAGCUUCGGCAGAAAUUCAUUUCGGAUUAGUGGCAGACGGGUGAGUAACGCGUGAGCAACCUACCUCUUACAAAGGGAUAGCCUCGGGAAACCGGGAUUAAUACCAUAUAACAUUGCGACGAAGCAUUUCGAUGCAAUCAAAGCUACGGCGGUAAGAGAUGGGCUCGCGUCCCAUUAACCAGAUGGUGAGGUAACGGCUCACCAUAGUAACGAUGGGUAACCGGCCUGAGAGGGUGAACGGUCACACUGGAACUGAGACACGGUCCAGACUCCUACGGGAGGCAGCAGUGGGGAAUAUUGCACAAUGGAGGGAACUCUGAUGCAGCGACGCCGCGUGAGUGAUGAAGGAAUUCGUUUCGUAAAACUCUGUUCUAUGGGAAGAAAAGGACGGUACCAUAGGAGAAAGCUCCGGCUAAAUACGUG
rnacentral:rRNA from 1 species